UACGUAGGUGGCGAGCGUUGUCCGGAUUUACUGGGCGUAAAGAGCGCGCAGGCGGUCGUACAAGUCGCGUGUGAAAGCCCCUGGCUCAACUGGGGAGGGUCACGCGAUACUGUUCGACUUGAAGGCAGGAGAGGGAAGUGGAAUUCCCGGUGUAGUAGUGAAAUGCGUAGAUAUCGGGAGGAACACCAGUGGCGAAGGCGACUUCCUGGCCUGUUCUUGACGCUGAGGCGCGAAAGCUAGGGUAGCAAACGGG
rnacentral:rRNA from 1 species